rnacentral:lncRNA from 1 species
CUCGCCAGGGUAAUCUUGUAAAUAGGUGAAGACUUGGGCUCUACGUCGUCUGAGACCAAACGGGCUUUUUGCGCUUUUCGGUGUCGAUCGAUGUCACCAUGUGAACAUCGAUCGAUUAAUCUUCCUCAAUGUCGACCGAUGGUCAUCUCGGGUGCUUACUCCAAAUAUCAUCACUUUCCUCCAAAUCACUUCUGAUCCUAUAAAUAUGCUAAAUAGGCUCUAUAAUAUAAUAAUUAGUAGUAAAAACACUUAUAAACCAUGGGUAAAAGUGCGUCAAAUCUAUGGUCUAUCACUGAGGCCUGAGCCUCUGCCCAAAGUAAAGAUUCAGUCUUGCACAUAUAUCUCCCUAUAUAUUGAAAUCUUCUUGGUAUAUCCAAGAAUAAUUCUCAUCUUGUAUGUAAUGUUUAGUGCAUUGACUAAAAAAAGGGAGAAUUGGGAAAAAGAGACACUUUCAACUUUGAUUUGUCUCAAUAAGAUUUUUUGAAGAUUUUUUGGAAAACUAGGAUUUUAUUUCUUGUUAAUAUCAUAAUGCCCUUGUAAUUAACCAAAUAAUAUGAAUUUUAAAUAUAAAUUAUAAUUUUCGUAAUUGAUUUAAUAUUAAU